CUGGCAAACUGUUCUUUCAAACUAUUUGAAGCGCUUUUUUAGGCCAUUCAAUAUUCGCAAUAUUUUAAUUAAAUGCAAAACCUCAAAAAAUACUUGGCUAAACUAGUUCUAGUGAAUUCUAAGAGAAUCGAGUUUUAAGUUCUUCGAAAUUUAGCUUUCGAUAAAAUUAUAUUUAAAUAAUUACAAUUUUUUUUGACUUCAAAAUCAAAUAUGUAAAAUCGUAGGAAAAAAAAACGAAAUUGAAAUAAGAAAAUUAUUUCGAUUAAAAACUCUUUUCCUUUCGGACUAUUCAAUGAAUUUUCAUCAGGUAUAAUCAAGUCCGUUUUUUAGGUGGAAGUAUCUUCGAUAAGUUAAAGAGCAAAACAUAACUUGGAAAUCAAUAUGUUGCGGAAAGUUUAAAGAACUACAAUCAUAAUUACUGGAGUAUGUGCUAUUAAAAAAGAGAUAAAACCGAAGUUUUUUAAAAAUUGAAGUGCAUGGAAAGGAAGCAUUGCUUAGUUUUUAAACAAAUAAAAAGUAUUCGUUUCAAAUGUAAUAAUUGAAAUGUAAGCACUGUAGAAAAGAAACGACGAAGACGAAAACGAAGACAAAGUAACAACAACGAUUUGCAACGACGAAGGAACGGAACGGAUGAAGUAGAAAUAAUUUAUUUAUUAUUAUUUAAAAAUAAAAAAAAUAUAUUCAAGACGUGGACUCUCUAUUAUAGCCACUGCCACUGCCACAGCGACUACCGGUGCAAGUGAGAAAAGCAAUCCAUAAAAGUUCGAAAAAUUAUAGCAGACAGAGUCACAGGCACGGCACGGCACAGAACAGCUAACAGCACAGUCACAAAGUUUAAACUUGGAGCAAAUAAAAUAUGAUGAUUAAAUAAAGCAACAAAAAUUAAAGA